AACUCUUGACAUCCCCCUGACCGGUACAGAGAUGUACCUUCCCCUUCGGGGGCAGGGGUGACAGGUGGUGCAUGGUUGUCGUCAGCUCGUGUCGUGAGAUGUUGGGUUAAGUCCCGCAACGAGCGCAACCCUUGUCCUUAGUUGCCAGCAUUCAGUUGGGCACUCUAAGGAGACUGCCGGUGACAAACCGGAGGAAGGUGGGGAUGACGUCAAAUCAUCAUGCCCCUUAUGAGUUGGGCUACA
rnacentral:rRNA from 1 species